UUGAUACUCCUUCCGUCUAAAAAUAUUUAUCCAAGGAAUGGAUGUAUUUAGACGUAUUUUAGUUUCAGAUACAUUCAUUUUUAUCCAUUUCUCCGACAAGUAUUACCGGACGAAGGGAGUAUGUU
rnacentral:pre_miRNA from 2 species